GUUAAAACACUGAGUACACAGCGGCUGCCAAGCAAGAUAUGUUUGGUUGAAGGCCUGGCAACAGGACGACUUCGGUUGAACACCUGACAAUGAAAAAAAGCCCCGGAAGAGGUCCCACACCCUGGUGGGGGGCCGAGUCAGUCGUUAUGUUCCAAGAAGGUAGCUAAGAAACUUGCCCCCGGGCUGAACCCUUGGGGGGCCGAGUCAGCCGUUAUGUUCCAAGAAGGUAGCUAAGAAACUUGCCCCCGGGCUGAACCCUUGGGGGGCCGAGUCAGCCAUUAUGUUUCAGGAAGGUAGCUAGGAAACUUGCCCCCGGGCUAAACCCUUGCCAUAUUAGAAUCCACCAAUUAUAUCCCUGUAACCAUGCAUCUGCUUCUGUAUGCUUGCUUCUGCUCCCCAAAAUCCUAUAAAAGCCCAUCCUUGGUUCCGUGGGGCGCGCCAGUCCCCCGAGUGACUGAAGCGCCCGCAGGUGCCUGUGCCUGUGUAUCCUGACAAUAAACCAAAUCCUCUUGCUGAUUGCAUCCUGUGGUGUCUCGGUCUGGUCUUUGGAGUUGGAGGGUCUCCAUCCCGAGGGAAAGUUCUCCCUGAGAGCUUUUCAUUUGGUGCGUUGGCCGGGAAAGGAGAUCCUCCACCCAGGGACCACCGACCACCCACUGGGAGGUAAGCCGGCCGGCGUCUGUCUGAUUCUGUCUCGUUCUGCCUUAUUCUGUCUGUUCUGUGAGCGCUCAGCCAGGUCUGUUCUGUGAGCGCUCAGCCAGGUCUGUUCUGUGAGCGCUCAGCCAGGUUGUUUGGAAUUUGGGCGGGACGAAGAAGGAGCUGACGAGCUCGGACUUCUCGCCCCGCAGCCCUGGAAGACGUUCCAAGGGUGUUGGGGCCCGACUUUUCGGGGCCCAAUCUGGGAGAGGAGAAAGAUCCGGACUAACGGCACCUCUGUCUGUAUUUUUGGCUUUCAGAGGGCCCCGGACCUUUGCCACCUCCAUCUGACUUUUUGCUUUCAGUUUGGUACCAAAGCCGUGCAGCACGCCUGUCUGUUGUUUGUUUGACUGUUGGUGUUGUUUGUUUUCUCUGUGUCCUAAUCUUCCUUAGAACUAACAUGGGACAGUCCCUAACAAUGCCCCUAAGUCUCACUCUUGAUCAUUGGGAAGACGUCCACGACCGGGCACACAACCAGUCCGUCGAGGUUAAAAAAAAAAAAAAAGGAAAAUGGCAGACUCUCUGCACAUCCGAGUGGCCCACUUUCGGAGCGGGAUGGCCAGUGAAUGACACAUUUAAUAAGAUCAUUAUUUUACAGGUUAAAGAUUGGGUCAUCCACGGACAUCCUGACCAGGUUUCUUAUAUUAUCACUUGAGAGAGUCUCGCCUUAAACCCUCCCUGGGCGGAACCCUUCGUGGACCCGAAUUGGCCUCCCCUCAACCCCCAGCCUGUCCCCUCGGCCCCGCCCGGUCCGCCUGCCACGUCUUCCUCUCUCUACCUUUGUGAAAUCAGAGCCUUCUAAAAAAACCUGUCCUCCCGGCAGACCCAAACUCCCCUCUCAUAGAUCUUCUCUCUGACAGGCCCGGCUAAAACGGAGGAGGCAGAGCCGCCGGCCAGAUCAGUUGCCGGGCCACAGUCUGAUAAGGGUUUCUCCCCUGUCGCAGGGAGAUUGCACAAUAAGCGCGAGGUGAUGCCAGAUUCAACCUCCCAGGCUUUCCCACUUAGACAGGGAACCGGUGGCCAGACCCAAUACUGGCCGUUUUCAGCAGCUGACAUUUACAAUUGGAAACAACACAACCCUUCUUUCUCCAAAGAUCCGGUGGCACUCACCGACCUAAUAGAAUCUGUUUUACUUACCCACCAGCCUACUUGGGAUGACUGCCAACAGCUCUUACAGGCCCUCUUAACCUCAGAAAAAAAAAAACAAAGAGUGUUCCUAGAGGCCAGAAAGCAUGUUCUGGGAGAUGAUGGGCGUCCCACCCAGCUGCCUGAGAAAAUUGAUGCUGCAUUCCCACUUAAGAGACCAAACUGGGAUUUUAAUACAGCUGAAGGUAAGGGACACCUACGCCUUUAUCGCCAGUUGCUUCUAGCGGGUCUCCGAGGGGCUAUACGACGCCCUACUAAUUUGGCUCAGGUAAAACAGGUAUUACAGGAAGCAGGGGAAACUCCCUCCACCUUUCUAGAGAGACUUAAGGAGGCCUACCGUAUGCACACUCCCUAUGACCCAGAUGACCCAGGACAAAUGACGAGUGUCUCUAUGUCCUUCAUCUGGCAGGCUGCUCCAGAUAUCAGGACUAAGUUACAGAGGUUAGAAAAUUUGCAGGGCUAUACAUUACAGGAUUUACUUAAAGAAGCUAAAAAGAUUUUUAAUAAGAGAGAGAUAAAAAAAGAAACAAAGAAUUGAGUCGAAUCUUGGCUGUCGUAGUUCAGGGCCAAAAAAAGGAAGGGAGAUAGGGGGGAGCUCGAAAGGGGCUGAAGCUGGAUAAAGAUCAAUGUGCCUAUUACAAAGAGAAAGGGCACUGGGCCAGAGAGUGCCCCAAGAAGCCUGGCGGACCCCGAAAGCCUCGACCACGAACCUCCCUCUUGGCUCUAGAUAAAGAUUAGGGAGGUCAGGGCCAGGAGCCCCCCCCCCUGAGCCCAGGGUAACGCUUAAAGUUGGGGGACAGCCGGUUACUUUCCUGGUAGACACAGGAGCCCAGCAUUCAGUCCUCACCCAAGCUUCAGGACAACUCAGCGACCGGACGGCCUGGGUACAAAGAGCUACUGGUGAGAAACAAUACCGAUGGACUACGGACCGCCGGGUUCAGCUGGCUACCGAAGUACAUAGAACCAGGCCGGACCUAUCGGACCAGCCUCUUCAGAAUGCUGACCACACAUGGUACACGGAUGACAACAGCUUCUUGACAGAGGGAGAGCGAAAGGCUGGAGCUGCGGUCACUACGGAGGACAAAGUGAUUUGGGCGAAAGCCCUGCCUGCUGGUACCUCCACACAACGGGCUGAACUCAUCGCCUUGACUCAGGCGCUCAAGAUGGCAAAAGGUAAGAGGCUAAAUGUAUAUACAGACAGCCGUUAUGCCUUUGCCACGGCACACAUCUACGGGGAGAUCUACCGGAGGC